rnacentral:rRNA from 1 species
UACGUAGGUGGCAAGCGUUGUCCGGAAUUAUUGGGCGUAAAGCGCACGUAGGCGGCUUUGUAAGUUAGAGGUGAAAGCCCGGGGCUCAACUCCGGAACUGCCUUUAAGACUGCAUCGCUUGAAUCAUGGAGAGGUCAGUGGAAUUCCGAGUGUAGAGGUGAAAUUCGUAGAUAUUCGGAAGAACACCAGUGGCGAAGGCGACUGACUGGACAUGUAUUGACGCUGAGGUGCGAAAGCGUGGGGAGCAAACAGG